rnacentral:lncRNA from 1 species
AAUAAUUCAUCUUAUAUUGAAAUAUGAAAAUACAAAAAUAAAAUUCCGAAUCUGUCAUGCGCUGCAUACAUAGAAGGAAAAAUCUUGUAUUGAAAUAAAUUUAUAUUAUAAUAUUUCAUAUUUAUGGACACUUCAAGACAAGGUUUUUAGCUAUUGUUGUACUUCCAACUACAUAUAUAUUUUCUUCUAAACUAUAAUACAUACACAGGAGCGUGCACAAACAAAUCUCCUGAUGCAAAAUAAAAACUGAGUAGUAUGCCCAAAAUACACGCCAGUGUCAAAUUAUACAAAUACAAUAAUAAUUUUGAGGAUAGAUAGACUAAGACAGACCAAGGAAUUGCUUGGAGGUCUAUUCAUUGGAGUACCAAAAUAAAAAAAGAAUGAGCAUCAAUAUUAGGAGUUGUGCUUCCCAUUCCUUUC